rnacentral:lncRNA from 10 species
CUCCAGGCCCUAGUUGCCUAGGUUUUCCCCUUACCUGGAUGUAUCACCAGUGAAGUCUGCAAAACAGCAAAGAUGGCAGCCUGCCCCUUCCUCUAGGAGCUCUGUCCCAGGAGUGGAAUGUGGAGGUUUGAGAAGCAUCUACAGUUUGAAGCACAAUAUCAGCAAUAUUAUCAGCAGAAAAACAUCAACAGGAUUGUGAGAUGAAGUAUUUGUCUGCAAUCUGUAAUGCCUCAAGCCUUGCUACUCUUUCAAGCGUAGCCCUUGGACUAGCAGCACUGAUGUUACCAGAAGUUUUGAGAAAUUCAGCAUCCCCAGUUCUACCUCAGACCUACCAUAUUAGAAUUUGCAUCUUUAAUAAGAUUCCCAGGAAACAUAAUCACUGGUGCACCAUACGUCCCUCCUUGAGUGACCUUGAUGACACAGUGCAGAAACAUCUGUCAUUUGUAGCCGGAUCUGUUUGCUAUUGUAAUUUUACAAACUGCCAAUAAGCCUCGAGGGCCUGGAACCAGAGCUGUCUUGAGAUGAAUGUGACCUAUGAGAAGCAGGCUUUUCCAGGUAGGAGAAAGACGAUAUUCCCCCUGGCAAAGGGAGCUCAUGCCUGUUUGAUUAUGAAGCAUAUACAUUAUGUCACUGGAAAUAAGGAGGGGUUAGUAGAAGCUCCAGAAAGGAGUCUCCAGCUAGGUAUGUUGAUUGGCUAGCAUUGAGCGGUAGCUUCAACUUACCUGGGACACAAAUGGCUUACGAGAUGGAACGUGAACUCUAUGGCCAAAAACAUUUGAUUUUCAUUAAAGGUGGCCACAGUGUGUUAACUUAAUAGAAAGUCGCCGGUGAUUGUUUUCCAAAGGACACACCUGGGGGUGGGAGUGGAGGACAUAAAUGUAAUAAUGUAUAGAUGGCCAAUUAUAAGAUGUUUUGAGUUGCUGACUGCCUAAAAACAUUCAUUCAAUCACAUUGGUUCAUAGAAUUACACAAAGAAUUAAAAGCCUGCUGCUCUGGGGGUGUCUCAGCUGGACAACCCACAAAAGCUAUGCCUGGCCAAUCAGAAUGUGAAAGGAGGAGGUGGCAGUGGCAGUGAUAGCAUUUCACUUCCUACUGUGGCAGGGUCCAUUCCUUUAGAUUUAGCUUUCAAAUAACAACCUCUCUGGCUCCUCACCUGGCC